GGAAAAUUUGGCAACACCCAUAUCUGUAGUUUGCAGUCAACAAACAACAACUGAAAUCACCAAAAGAAAAAAAAGAAUAAAAAGAAAACUAAACCCAACAACACAAGCACUCAAUUGUUGCGAAGUGGAUAUUGGCUACACUUUGAUCCAACAGCACAUUUUUACCUCCUUUUCAAUCUUUUUUGAAUCCCUUAAUCCAUUGGGUAAGCAAAUUAAUUUAUAUUUUUUUAUGGAUUAAUUAAUGAUUAUAGUUGUCUUGCUGUUCGUAGCUCCAUUGCAAAUUUCA
rnacentral:misc_RNA from 1 species